UCCGCUAGGGGAGCCACGGCUGAGAGGCGUGAAAUCACGCCGACCCUUAUUACUUGAUCCGGCUAAUACCGGCGUAAGGAAGCAUAUU
rnacentral:ncRNA from 1 species